ACGAGGUGGAAUGAAGAAAAAGACAAACUUAUUUUGUGGAAGGUGGUGAUGCUGGCAACAGGGAAGACCAGAUAAACAGGCUUAUUAGACGGAUGAACUAAGGUGUUGCCUGUGGUAUUUUUGUAAUCUGGUCAGUUAAUAAACAGUCACAGCUUGGCAAACUGAAA